rnacentral:rRNA from 1 species
GUGGGGAAUAUUGGACAAUGGGCGAAAGCCUGAUCCAGCCAUGCCGCGUGUGUGAAGAAGGUCUUCGGAUUGUAAAGCACUUUAAGUUGGGAGGAAGGGCAUUAACCUAAUACGUUAGUGUUUUGACGUUACCGACAGAAUAAGCACCGGCUAACUUCGUGCCAGCAGCCGCGGUAAUACGAAGGGUGCAAGCGUUAAUCGGAAUUACUGGGCGUAAAGCGCGCGUAGGUGGUUCGUUAAGUUGGAUGUGAAAGCCCCGGGCUCAACCUGGGAACUGCAUCCAAAACUGGCGAGCUAGAGUACGGUAGAGGGUGGUGGAAUUUCCUGUGUAGCGGUGAAAUGCGUAGAUAUAGGAAGGAACACCAGUGGCGAAGGCGACCACCUGGACUGAUACUGACACUGAGGUGCGAAAGCGUGGGGAGCAAACAGGAUUAGAUACCCCUGUAGUCC